UCGGAAUUAAUUUAAAAAGGUAGUCUUCCUCCAUAUGAUUGCUAAUGAAAAUUAAACACCUUUACCAACAUUUUGGAGGAACGUAAUGCCCCCAUCUUUGGGGCUGAAGAGUCAGUUUAAUGCCAUGUGGUCUGGUAGACAGUUAACCAUCCUUUUGAAGGAACAUGCUGUCUGCAUCUUCAGGGCAGAAACAGAUCUGAUGCUGUGUAAUCUGGAUAAUUACCCACAUUUUAUAGGAACCUGUUGCCUCCAUUCUGAGGAUAGAACAGGGGUGUAUUGGAGUGAUGUGGUUUUUGGCCGUUAGCACAGUAAGUGUAUCAAUGAAACCAAUCUAAUAUCACUGUUACCUUGGUUUUAUAUAGUGACAUGAUACACAACAGGAUGCAAACAGUAAAAUGUAGAGGUGUGUUGUGAUGCUGUGUAGUCUUGCAGAUAAUUGGCAACUUUUUGGAGAAAGAUGUUGCCUCCAUCUACCUUGCGUUAUCAGGAAGAGCUGAAGACACUAACGGAAACAACACAUCAACAGAGUCAGAGGAAUAAAAGUGAAGGGUUCAGAUUUUUUCCCAACUCCAUAUUGGUGCCCUCCAUAUUAAAACCAGUCAUCAUAUUGUUCUUCAGUUUCCUGUUCCAACAAUUAUCAUGAGGUUAUGUUAUCAUAUUUUAUGCUGUCCGUGUUUUUAAGAUGGUUGGAGAAAAUUUUGGAUCAGGAUUUGAUGAAUAUGACCCACUUGUAUUUCUGGGAUUAAUAAGAUUUAUAAUGAGUAUUGUUGCAGCAAUAACUUACUGUAGAUUUGGUCAUCGGCCAUUGAAUAUAUUGUCAGGACUAGGGAUGUGCAAUACAACAUUAAUUGCAGGUAUUUACUUGCACAUAAACCCUGUUGAAUAUACUGGAAUCUUUAUAAACUCAGAAAACAGCACAGAAGUUGUAAUUACCACAGAAAUGGAACAUUGGACAUGUGUACUGUGUGUUAUUAUAUGUGUGCUUCUGUUCCCUGGGGGUUCUUGUGAUUCCAUGGACUCUGAUAGGAGAACUCAUACCAAUAAAAGUUAGAGGUAUUGGUGGUGGUUUCAUGGGUGGAACUGCAUACAUUUUGAUGUUUGGUGUUCCAAAAACUUUCCCUUCUGCAUUGUAUAUUACUGGGGCUGAAGGAACCUUUUUUUCUCUCUCUCUCUUCCCCCCCCACCAACAUAAAAUGCAAAGAAUGGGUCUGGCAUU